rnacentral:rRNA from 1 species
UGGCGGACGGGUGAGUAACGCGUGGGUAACCUGCCUCACACAGGGGGAUAACAGUUGGAAACGACCGCUAAUACCGCAUAAGCCGGAAGGAUCGCAUGAUCCGGCCGGAAAAGAUUUAUCGGUGUGAGAUGGACCCGCGUCUGAUUAGCCAGUUGGCAGGGUAACGGCCUACCAAAGCGACGAUCAGUAGCCGGCCUGAGAGGGUGAACGGCCACAUUGGGACUGAGACACGGCCCAAACUCCUACGGAAGGCAGCAG